GUAGUGCAAACUGUUUUCAGUGACAGCUCAAUUGAGAGCAAACAAAUGGUCUCAUAAGACAGGUGGUCUUUUAAGACAGGUUUAAUUUUUUUUUUGAGUCUCAAAACUAUGUUUGACUGUUAUUUCCACAUAUUAUGUUGUCAUUUUAAUGUUAUAUUUAACAUUGCCAUUAAAGUGCGAGGUUUGGCAUGCCACAAAACCAGGUUCAACCCACCAUUUUCUUCUUUUAAAAAUGUCCUGUACCACAUCAGGAAAAUGGUCAUUGUUAUAUUAUAGUUCGUUUCUGUGUGUGUUACAUUUUAACGUUGUGUUUCCGUUGUGUCGUUUAUUUUCUCUUACAUUUGAGUGUGAAUUCACAUUACUAUAAGACGUGUCACGG
rnacentral:lncRNA from 1 species